UAUUGCUUUUUGAUCAACUGGAAUUUGAGCACAGACAUUUCCGCGCCCAAAAGGUGUUCGAUGAAAUGUCUGAACCACUAAUUCCAGAGAUUUGUGGCUUUGUACCAAGGUAUUGGUUGCAGAGAGCGUUUUGGCUUUAACUUGUUGAUUCGUAAUGCCUGUUAGGUAAACUCUCGUCAAUGGUGAUUGAGUCUGGGACUAGUUUAACUUGAGGGUCUCUGUUGCGGUGGCACUUAUAUUUGGUUACCGAACUUGUUGUAUAGGGAUAAUUUAUUGAGCAUGUCAAUCACCUAUAAACUGAGGAAA
rnacentral:sRNA from 1 species